CUGUUUACAACUAACCAAAUCAAGGAAGUAAUUUGUUUGUUCCCUUCGGGCUAAUCCCUGUCAUCCAAUUUGGAGAAGUGAUUGAUUUCACACAUUGCAACGGCCCAUCCAAGAAAGACUUAAAAAUGCCGUUACCGCCAGUACCAGGAAAAAAUCCCCCAGUACUUCGUCGAUAUGGUCGUCCACCACCACCCUCGCCUCCACCAUCACCACAACCAGAUACGGGGGAUUAUGUAAACCCGAUUAUUCCAUCCGGUCAAUCAUACGAGGAAUAUUAUGAUGAGUUUGAUGUGGGGGAUGAUACCACGAAAACAACACCGCAUACAGCAGCAGCCAAUGUCGACUCAGAAGUAAAUACAUCUGACGAUGAUGAUUCAAAAGACGUAUAUGAUGAAUGUGUAUCUGAUCCACUGGUUGGAUUUCCAUGGUAUCACUUUAAUAUAGGCCGAAAUACAUCAAAUGCUAGAAUACAAAAAAUAAACAAGGACGGUACUUUCCUGAUUAGAAACAGUGGAAGCAAUAAACCCACGAGUAAAAGCCACCCGUAUACACUUUGUGUGCUUUAUGAAAACAGAGUACGGAAUCUAAAGAUCAGACACCGAUCUGAUCAAAAAUUUGCCCUUGGGGAAUUCAAGAAUAAUGAAAUGACUUUUGAAUCUAUAGAAAAAUUAGUAGAACAUCACCAGAAAAAUGACGUCAUAUUAAUUGGAGAACAUCAAGGAAAUGUUAAACUUCUUCAUGCCGCUAUUAGUCAAUAAUAACCACCGUAUUUGGCGCCCUGUCCUUGGGAUUGUAUUUAACUAUGUUUUAUCACCAUACUUAACUAUCUUACUAAGCUUUCUCUGUAUUUUUUGUUUUAAAUUUUGAAUCGAAAAGGCCAGUAGAUCUGGCCUACCGAAAUACAAACCAGGGUCCUUGUUUUAAGUAUUUUUGAUUACCAUACUCUUACGAAGCGGUCACUUAUUUGUUUAUUGUAAAUGUUGAUAUGAAGAGUCACAGUAGAUUUGGCGCCUUUAAAUAUAGAAAAACAAUCAACAACCAGUGUCUUUGUUUUUGUAUUUAACUAUUUUAUAUUAGCACAUUACACUAACUUAAUUAGCUGUCGCUGUAAUUUCUUAUUGUAAAAUAUUGAUGCGAAAGGACACCGUAAAUAUUCAAAAUGUAUUUAUGAUGUUAAUAUUCAUUUUAUAUAUAACAAGUUAUUUUAUUUUAAAUAAACUUUCCCAUAACCUUCUUUUAAUAUUGAAUAUUGUUGAUAUUCACAGAGUAAACCCGUAAACAAGAAUAAUGCAACUUACGUCGGUCUUAUAAACAGUUAUCGCAAUUGACUGUUAAUAUACCAUUUGGUCUUAUACACGCCCCGGCUAAAUAUCAUAAUUUAAUUUAUUAUAUAUGAUAUCAAUGUGUGACUAAAAACCACUGUAAUAGCAUAUACAAAAUGUAUACCUCUACUAAAACUAAAGAUUCGUAUUCUUUUUGUUCAAAUAUUUAUCCUGCAUUAUCUGUAUUUUAGUUUCGACAGACUUCGCCGUGUUUUUCAUUCAUCAAUGUAAUUGUCCGUUCACAGAAUAAUUUGCUCAAAGAUAAUCAACCUUCAUAAACCGAUGUUGGUCUUUGCAGUGAAUUUUAUUUAUGUUAUGUAUUUGUAUACUCCCUAUGGUGGGAUUUUACUGUUUGAAGUUAUGAGUAGCCAUCUGUACGUUUUUUUAUUUUUUUAUUUUUUUUAAAAAAUCUAUUUUGUCAACAGAUAAUUUGAUUCCCCAAAAUUGUAGAGGUAGGUUAGAUGUUGAGAAAUAGUUUUAUCAGUAACUAAUAUUAGAAUUGUAUAAUAAUUUGUAAUAUUUACGUAUAAUAAAUUAAUACAAAUCAAUGUCAUUGAAAGUAAACAGAGCUUGUUUCAUAAAUAUACGCAAACUCUCAAGGGGGAAAUAAGACGCCCAGGAAAAUCUCAUCAUUGUAUGGGA